CUUUGCCAUAAACAUUGGAUUCAGGGAAUUAGACUGAAUAUUAAAUUGAUACAAUGGAUGUAUUUUCAUCAGGAGAAUAACUCCUUCCAAAACAGAACCUAACAGUGAGUCUAGAGCUGUGGAAUUGUUUUAAAAAUCUUCUAUUACAAAUACAAAAAGGCACAAAGACAAAAAUAUUCUCCUAAUUAGGCAAUAAGGGUAGAGAGAAACAGCACAAAUAUGCAUAUUUAACAUAUUGUUCAGAUCCUGAAGGAAAGUAAGACAAGAAAUGUAACAAAAAUUAAAUGUGCACAGACAUAUGGAAGGAUUUAAAUAUGCAAAAGGGUGUUUCUAAACAAAGAAAUACCAAACACAAAAAGGCCUUUUAAAAUGUAAGUUUUAUUGAAAGACAAGAUGAGCAAGCAAAUUGAAAUUACAGAUGAUACUCCAAUUGAUUCAAAUUCGGUUUUUGGACCUCUUCCAUUGGGCCACUCACAAGUCCAAAAAACUUUUGAGUUGGCCCUAAAUUUUGUGUUUUAAGCCAACAUUUAAAUGUGAGCGACUGCCAUUUUGUCACGUUCCUGGAAGGCAAUUUGCACACAGGAGAAAGCUGCUUUGUCAUAUAAUGUAAAUUACUCAAGAUCACAUGUCACCUCAGAGAGAUAUACUCUCGCUGAUUUGUAAAUUAAAGACAAGCCACAAAAGUUCCUAAUUCCUUCACAACAUAACUACUCAUGAGUUUCUGCUGAAAGACUGCCAUCAAAAGGCAAUAAAUCUUCAGGAAAUAAUAUCACAAUGCUAGUUCUAAGGCACUCAUGAUUUUUUUCCAACUUUCUCUGGAAUAUUUCUUCCAAAAGAAAGCAGAUGGCAAAAUACUCAGCGGGUCAACUUUUGUGUUCAGACACUCCCAGGGGUUUCCAUUAAUUCACGUUGUCUCUGCACAGACAUAGACAACAAGAGAAAUCACUACCCAUCCUUCCUUAAGAUCACCACAUUUUUCCUUGCCUCACUAUCAGAGGCAUUAUUUGAAACCAGCAUGGCUGUUCAGUGCAUUCUGGAUGCAUAAGGGGUAAAGCAAAAUAACGCCUCUCGCUGAAUUGGAUUCACAGAUCAUGGACAUGCCUGGGUCCAACCCAAAUCCAUCCUUUUCCUGGCGAAGCCCUUCAAGAGAUGACCUGACCUCACUGCUCCUCUGCCAACCCGGCCACCCAACCACACAAAACCAAGUCUUCUCUGAAAGUCACACAGCACUGCUGAGCUGAAGUGCCUCAAGAAGCUAAGUCAUUAUAGAGUACCGGAUUUAUUUAUUUACUGGUUUACUGGGGGAAGAACAAAUUCCUUAGAGGACAGAUUUGCAGAAGAAUUCAGUGCUGACCUCAUUGUGUCAUUAUUGAUGUCAGCAAAACCUGCUGAAACAAAAUAAGCCCAAUGAUGGAUGAGUCUGAAAACCUCACAUGCUGUAAACCACGAAGAGGUUCACAGCACCUUCAUCCGCUGCACUGCUGCUAACGAACAAAGCCAGCCAGGAACAAGGGCUUCUGGCAGCUCAUGAGGGAGCGUGUCGGGCCACACAGCCCCAGAGCGGUGUCCCCAGCCGGAUGGGCGCCAGAGACGUGCGCUCGAGCAGGGGAGCCCCAUCCAUCGUGUUUGUGCCGAGGUCCCGGGUGUUGCCAGGGGUUACUGUGCACAGAGCGAGGGACAGGGGCCGCACAACGAGGGGAAAAGCGUUUCAGCCCAAAAAAGGAAAACAUCGGCUACAGAAACGCAACAGCAGAGGCAAACCACCAGAGAUAAUCAAAUGUUAAUAUAACCACAUUCCUUUCCAGUGUAAUGAAAAAACAUCAGAAAGCAUGAAGAACAUGUUUCAAGUAACAGAGGGGGUUUUCUAACAAUAAAUUCAGAUAACUCAUAUGCAACUGUAUGAAGACUAGAAAAGAGCCACUGCAGACCUACAAAAUCAGCUUGGCACACCUCCAUGAGAGCUGUGCUGAUGGGUCAGGGCCAGGCAGGACCCCCUCACUCUGUUCCCAGCUGCUCCCAGUGCCCACAGCCACCACCAACCCUGACCCAGCAGAGAACGAGGCUGAAAUAUUUGCUGCUGGCACCAACCAGCCAUAAGGUUCAAUCGGUCCACAAUUGGGAGGCAGUAAACCUUUACAGCUGCGUGCGCACCAAUGGCAUCUCCUGAGCAGCUGUGCGGGGGAAAGGCGGAGGAGCCCCCCACAACACCUAUUCUGAAUGAAGGCAGCCAACAGAACAGCCAACACCUAAAAGUCGCCUGCUCCAUCUUCAGACCACACACAUUUGCUGUUAGUCACCUAAAUGCAGGCUGUUCUUCAGGUGCUUUCAUUUCCCAAGCUUGCACACUGUGAGAAAAAAAUACUCUCGCUAGUACUAGGUUUAGAAAAAAAAAACUUAAAAAUUUUAUAAGAGCCAAAAGCUGUUAGCUUGAGAGUCCUGUUUUCCAUAAAACUCACAUUCAUAACAAGCAAUAAAAAUGGAACUUUGCUGUAAUAUAACUCACGAGUCUGUCUAAAAGUUAGAUCUGAAGAGAUCUCCAUUAAAGGUAAAAUGUAGCAUAGGCUUCAUGCCAGACCAUUCUUUUGUUUCUUUUCAAUAAGAGAAAGAGUGCCAACUAUGAUAAAGUUUUACAAGGAAGUCACCCAUGUUCUAACAACAUAACUGAAAUUAGCCACUCAUUACAUGUAGGCUCUUAACUACUAUUAAUUGACAUCUCUUUCCUUCUCAUCUCUGAGUAAGCCAAACUGUAUUUCUAACUCAACAUUGAUAUUUACUGCAUUCCAUAUAAAAUUAAAUAUUCCUCUAUAAGAACUUUUAAGAGGAAUCAAAUGAAGAGACCUGACCUGCAAAGUGUGGUACUUGUCACAAUUUUUAUCAAUUUCUUUGAUAAAAUUCACAUGUAAGUCACAAAGUUGUAGCAGAACAUCAGAUGACACAUGCAAAAAAAGCAUGCUGCUCUGAGUCGUUUCUGCCUGUUCACAGUGGAUUCACAGCACACUGAAAUCAAAAGCAGAUUUUGCAGAGACAGUAUUGAAGUUGAGCUGCAACCAGCAGUAUGGAAAAGGUACAAUAUGCAGUGGGCUGCAACAAUGGUUCUGUCAAUUAACCUGGCUAUAGUGCACUGCUACCAUAGCUGAGAGGACUACAGGCAAUCAUUGUAGCAUACUCCAAGGAACUUCUGAAAGAGUGAGCCCUACCUGUGAUCAAAUUAGUCACUGUAAGAAUAUCACUAAUAACCUAAACUUAGAGGCUGAUGAACCAGACAGCAUCUCAAAAAAAUUGCUCUAUCCAGGAAUGUAACUCAGAAUGUUAAGUAUUAGAAAUGUGAAUUAUUAGAUCUGUCUCAUGCCCUUCUGCUGACAACAGGAGAAUCUCCUGCAACAUUAUUUUCUAGUGCUUUUGUGUGCUUGGUUUUUGUUGUUUUUUUUUUUUUAAUAUACACACUAUGUGGCAAAGAAUGUUGGUUAAUAGAAUAAGAAAGAUUUUAUUUUUACUUCAUUAUAGGUUUUGUUCAUGCCACAUGGUUGAUUUGCCUCAUUGCCGUCCCUUUGCUUUCCCACCUAUAAUAGGAGAGAUAGUAAUACCUGUCUGCUCCUUAAGACAUUUAUGCUGAUUACUUAUCACUUACCAAAAUCUUUCAAACUGAAAGAAGUGUCACAGAGGCAAUAUGAGACAUAAAUUUGUCUUUCACUGUUUCUUACUUGCUUUUUGUGUUGAGAGCCAAGACUCAUUUCUGAUAGCUAUCAUGUUCUAGUCCUUCUCUCAUCAAUUAUUUGAAGAAGUUACUGUCAUCCAAGGCUGUGUUUCUAAUGAUUUUUUUUAGUUGUGUAAUUUAAAGAGUGCAAAAUCAUUCAAUUUCAUCUUAUUCCAGAGAUCACUAACUGUAAUUAUACAUGGAAAUGAUUAAAUGAACAAAAACUAGAUAUACUCUAAUCCACUUUCAGGGUCUAGCAUAAGAAAUCCAGGUCAGUUAUGCUAAUUUCAAGCAGUGUAAAUUCACUAGUGCUUCAGAAAAAUAAAACUGCUAUCAAGUUAUGAAGCAAAAGUUUGUUCACAACAAGGAUUUAAUUUUCCCCACAGAAACAGUGAAGCUAAAUAAAAAGAAAAAUUACUCUCUUCUGACUAUUUAAUCAAUCAAGACUUGCAAGUCAAAUAUAAACACACCUUAUACACAAUCCCAAACCCAAAAGACACUCCUCUCCAAAACCUACAGCCCUCCCAAACCAAUUGAAAAAAAAAAACAUAUUUCAAAAUUUCAUGUUAUGCAAAGAGUUCAAGGAGAGUGACCUUGGUUCUUUCAAAGGCUGUAAUAAGUAUUCUUUGAAGAAAAGAAAUGCUAGUGAGAACAGAUCCUUUGACACAUGAGAAGAGUAAAUGAAAGAUUCAGAAAUGGCUCUGACAUUAAGUUCCUUCUCAAGUAUUUCCUCAGUCAGAAAAAAAAAAAAAAGGAAGAAAUGCUGGGAGCACUGAGGGAGAAUGGGAUGAGGAUCCUGUGAAAGAAACUGCAACAGCUAAUGAAGGACAUAUAGGGAAACACAUUAGGAAAACGUGAACAAAUAAAAAAACCUAGACAACAUGCAUUCUACAGGACUUAAAAGAAUUAGCUGAACUCCUUUAUGUUCACUGUGCACAAACCAAAUAACUGAAAAAUUAACACAGAGGGAAAUAUUAACAUUACCACCUUAAACAACAGCAAAGGUACUGCAGACAGAUUCUCGCAAAUCCUGUUUCUGUUCCUAAUGGUCAGUGUCUUCAGCGAGCCUUGGGUGCAGGGCCUGGAGCAAGGACAGGGGACUAUCCAAGUGCAGAUGAGCUUUAAUAGGGGCACAAUGUUUUAUCUCACAGGAUCUUAGCUGAAAAAGUAAUUCACAUUGGCUCACCCAUUUCCAUGUGGCUUUCAAGCUGCUGAGGUAAUGAAAUUACAGGAAAUAAGCUGCAAUGUAGCAAGGUGGUGGGAACCGUCUCCUGGCUGCCAUGUGGAUGACUGCUAGGAACAGUCUGUUGGACUUCUUUAUUAAUGAUCUGGAAAAGAGAGUGCACAGCACUUUGAUGGAACUCACAGAUAUAAGUGUGAAAGACAGAAAGACAGUGUACUAAGAAAAUAAUAGAGAAUUUCCUAGAGAAGAUAGAACCAUGGAAACAAAAUAACUAAAGGAGACUCAACUUGGAAAAUAAUGCAGCCUGGGAAAACAUCUGUGAAGGAGCAACAGGAAGGUGAAAUCUAAGAUGCAAUAAUGAUGUAAGAGAUGUAGGGAGACAGCUCACGCUAAAUGGCAUGAAUUGGUAAUGUGCUAUGGAGUGAAAAGGCCAAUAUUGCACUGAGAAAGAAACAAAUACCACAUUCUGCAUGCUGCUGGUACAGCUCCAUCUGGACUAUUAUACACAUUUCUGGAUAUUGACAAAUUUGAGAGUUCAAAGGAGAGCACCAAACAUGAUCCAAAGCCUAAGAGGAUUGAUUUAUGAGGAGACAUUAGAAGAGUUAAAAAUAUAAAUUGCUUGACUUAGAAAUUAUUAAUAGGGGACAUGGUAACAGCCUAAUAUUUGAAGAAGACCACCGGUGAAGGCAUUUUUCAGCAGGUUUCUCAAGGAACACCAGAGUCCAGAGAGCAACUGAGAAGGAAAACCAUAUACUGAGUAUCAAGAAAUGCUUACUGAAAUAAUUUUCUCAGUAGGAGAGAAAUGAGGCUUUUACUUGUGGCUUUUAAACACAGACUUGAAGAAUCCCUUAAGAAACCUAUGUACCCACAACUGUGAAAGUCUGAACUCCGACCUCUCUGAUCCAUUCCAGCUUAGCCAAGCUGGUUGCCGUCUACAAUUCCCUCUUUCCACAAGACGAUUUGGCCAUAUUUAUAAAGACAUUACAUUCUUAUUUGUGUAUCUUCCCAUGCUUUUGCUACCCUGGCAUUCAACAAACUAAAAUAAAUAGCUGCUAUUAGUGAAGUACUUUUGUUACUUGAGGGCCAGUGAAAGUCUCAGCACCUGUCUUACCACUGCAUGCAAAUAACAAACCAGCAGUCAGACACCUACAGAGCCUUUCAGUGACUGGGUUCUUGAUGAGCUACAUUCAAGGUGAAGAUGGCUAAUUAUGAGCCACACAGACAGUGAAGACUGCACACUCCACCGAGUGACCAAGAUACAGGCUACAGUUUUUCACAAGGACAUCAUAAGAAGAAAGUGUUAUAAAAAGCAGUCAUAGAUUCACCAUGUGAAGCAAUGGCCUCCAUCACUCCCCAGCAUUAAUCCCUAUCCUGUAUCCCUGUGCUGUAGCUGUGGAACCUCAUUCAUUACUGCCAUGCUGUGGAUCCACCUUAGUCCCUCAACUCAGGGUGAUGGCUGGAGGGAGCCAGGUGCUGCAGGAAGCAAGUAUAUGCUGGAGACCUGCCCGUAUAACACAGGACCUAGCAUGGGCUGAGAGGGCAAACUGGUUCCCUUUGGACUGUGCAUAUUUCUGAGGGAAACGACAGAAGUUUGUUGCAAAAGUUUGUGACGAUUUGGUAAAGAGGACUAAUUGGGGUGAGUCAUUGGUAAGAAUUCCAGGUUGUGAGCUGGAACAGUACAAGAAUUAUUUAAAUUUUUUAAAUUAUACUUUGUCAUGAAAAAAUGAGAACUCUUCAUCCAAAGGCAAUUUUACAAGAGUGACUGCUCUGACACGAGCAGCGAACAAUAAGGGAGGUGCCAGCCCAGGAAAAUGUGCCAUUGGCAGGACACGCAUAGGAAGAUAAAAGCUAAAAAUCCUGGUGAACUCUCUGGCAUACCAGUAGACAAUAUCGCAGCUGAUGACAAUAAAGUUCCCACACUAAUACUUCAGUAGGAAAAGGUGCAAAUAAAGAGCUUAUCGAAAAGCA